rnacentral:rRNA from 1 species
AGGACGAACGCUGGCGGCGUGCUUAACACAUGCAAGUCACGGGGGCCCAGCAAUGGGUAACCGGCGAACGGGUGCGUAACACGUGAGCAACCUGCCGAUCUGAGGGGGAUAGCCGGCCCAACGGCCGGGUAAUACCGCAUACGGUUUGUGAGGGACAUCCCUUAUGAACGAAACCUCCGGGGCAGAUCGAGGGGCUCGCGGCCUAUCAGCUAGUUGGUGCGGGUAACGGCCCACCAAGGCGACGACGGGUAGC